rnacentral:rRNA from 1 species
UACGUAGGGUGCAGGCGUUAAUCGGAAUUACUGGGCGUAAAGCGUGCGCAGGCGGUCUGCUAAGAGAGAUGUGAAAUCCCCGGGCUUAACCUGGGAACUGCGUUUCUAACUGGACAGGGCUAGAGUGUGGCAGAGGGGGGUGGAAUUCCACGUGUAGCAGUGAAAUGACGUAGAGAUGUGGAGGAACACCGAUGGCGAAGGCAGCCCCCUGGGCUAACACUGACGCUCAUGCACGAAAGCGUGGGGAGCAAACGA